rnacentral:rRNA from 1 species
UUGAACGCUGGCGGCAGGCCUAACACAUGCAAGUCGAGCGGAUGAAGGGAGCUUGCUCCUGGAUUCAGCGGCGGACGGGUGAGUAAUGCCUAGGAAUCUGCCUGGUAGUGGGGGAUAACGUCCGGAAACGGGCGCUAAUACCGCAUACGUCCUGAGGGAGAAAGUGGGGGAUCUUCGGACCUCACGCUAUCAGAUGAGCCUAGGUCGGAUUAGCUAGAUGGUGGGGUAAAGGCCUACCAAGGCGACGAUCCGUAACUGGUCUGAGAGGAUGAUCGGUCACACUGGAACUGAGACACGGUCCAGACUCCUACGGGAGGCAGCAGUGGGGAAUAUUGGACAAUGGGCGAAAGCCUGAUCCAGCCAUGCCGCGUGUGUGAAGAAGGUCUUCGGAUUGUAAAGCACUUUAAGUUGGGAGGAAGGGCAGUAAGUUAAUACCUUGCUGUUUUGACGUUACCAACAGAAUAAGCACCGGCUAACUUCGUG